AGCAACAAGGUUCUUGAUCCGAUCUUUCUUCUUCUUUAAGCUUCUUAGAAAAUCUCUCUAGUGUCAAACUCUGAUUUUCCUUCUCCUCCUUUCUAGUUCUUCCACCAGUACUGAGUCUACUCAGCCCACUUGUCACAAAUGACUCUUAUCAUCCCUUUUACCUUCACCCAUCAAACUCACCUGGGAUGAUCCUUGUUAGCUCACUCUUUGAUGGUAAAAGUUAUUAAGAUUGGCGUAGUACUGUCUUCAUAGAUCUCUCUCUUCUCAGUCAAGAACCAACUUGGAUUCAUAGAUGGAUCUAUCACUGAGCCAACAACUUCUUCUCCUUCUUUUAUGGCUUGGAAUAGGUAUAAUGACAUGGCGAUCUCCUGGCUAUUGAAAUCACUCUCCAAAGAAAUUGGUGUGAUUGUUCUUUAUUUAAAUACUGCCCAAGAAAUAUGGAAGGAGCUGGAGGACAGGUGUGGGCAGAGCAAUGGAACUCUCCUUUAUCAACUGCAAAAGGAAUUUAGUGACUUAGUUCAAGGAAAUUCUGAUGUUGCUGGAUACUACACUAAGUUCAAAAGAAUCUGGGAUGAAUUGGAUAGUUUUGCUACCUAUGUCCAUUGCAAUUGUGAAUGCUAUUGUGGAGGACAGAGCAGAUCUCUCAAAUCCCAGCAAGCCGGUAGGCUCAUUCAGUUUCUCAUAGGACUGAAUGAGGCAUACUCUGGGGUAAAGAGCAACAUUCUGAUGGGAUCUCCACUUCCCAGCAUCAAUCAUGCUUAUUCUCUGUUAAUCCAAGAAGAGAAACAGAAGGAAAUUCAUGUUGCUCAACAUCCAUUUGACUCUGCUUUCAUGGCUGUAAAACAAUAGUAUGGUGCCUAGAAAUUUGUUAACACAGAGAAAAAGGGAAACUUUGAAGGAAAAGAAAGAAUAUCAUAUACAAAUACUGUAACAACCUGUGACAUAUAGCU
rnacentral:lncRNA from 1 species